rnacentral:rRNA from 1 species
GGUGUACGACGGCAGUGAUUCGAGCUGGAACUCGCGAGUGCAUCUAGAUUACAUGUUAGUAUAAAUAACUACACAGUAAAACUGCGAAUGGCUCAUUACAACAGUUAUUGUUUAUUUGAUACAUUAAAUGGAUAACUGUAGAAAAACUAGAGCUAAUACAUGCUUAAGCUGUAAGGCUGUAUUUAUUAGAUAUUCCGGAUUGGUGAAUCAUAAUAACUUCGCAAAUCUCGUUUAUGACGAGAUAAAUCAUCCAAGUUUCUGCCCUAUCAUGCUUUCGAUGGUAGUGUAUUGGACUACCAUUGGCUCGCACGGGUAACAGGGAAUUAGGGUUCUGAUUUCUGGAGAAGGAGCCUGAGACACGGCUACUACAUCUACGGAAGGCAGCAGGCGCGUAAAUUACCCAAUCCUGACUCAGGGAGGUGGUGACAAGAUAUAACAACGCGGUUAUUAUCGCGAUUGUAGUGAGGGUAUUCUAAACAGAACCUAUAGUACGAUUAGAGGGCAAGUCUGGUGCCAGCAGCCGCGGUAAUUCCAGCUCUAAUAGCGUAUAUUAAAGUUGCUGCAGUUAAAAGCUCGUAGUUGGAUUUCAAGGAUUGUAAACCCCUCCGGGAAACAUCUACUAGUCUUCGACUGUUAUGUGGGAAAAUAAACGGUUCAGCAGCUUCCAGAAUCAUAACAUGCAUACGAUGAUGACUGUAUCAUCAUUAAAGAAGUGGCUAAUAUUGCCAGGAUCUGUUGUGAACAUGCAAUUC